rnacentral:rRNA from 1 species
ACGAACCGUGCGAUCGUUAUUCGGAAUCACUGGGCUUAAAGCGCGUGUAGGCGGGAGGGCACGUCGGCCGCUGAAAUCCCCCGGCUCAACCGGGGAAGUGGCGCCGAUACGACCUUCCUGGAGGGACGUAGGGGGACCUGGAACUUCCGGUGGAGCGGUGAAAUGCGUUGAGAUCGGAAGGAACGCCCGUGGCGAAAGCGAGGUCCUGGACGUCUUCUGACGCUGAGACGCGAAAGCCAGGGGAGCAAACGGG